AUAUAUAUAUAUAUAUAUAUAUAUAUGCAUGCCACCUCCACACCUUUUAGGGAGCGUUUGAAAGAAAUCUUAUUAUUUUUUGUAGAAGAACGUAGGAACCAUAUUAACUGUUUCUUUGGUAAGGACACCUAGUCUCAACCCACUUGUGUAAUAAUUGGUUGUAUGCCCCCUGGGGUUCCUCAGCUGCUUCCUGCUUCACUGUGUCAUGGUGACUCUUGGGUAUUAGCUGAACAAAUUUAAUUAAAGCUGGCACUGUUGUCCCUCUCUGCUGCAUGACUCUGAUUAGUUGAAGGGUGCUGUUGCUUUACAAAAUAUAGAAUGUUGUCAUACCUUACCUCUGUUUAUCUUUCCAUUGCGUGGAUUAGAGAGAAAACAAGGUCCUGUGAUGUCUUCUCCUUUCCUUUCUCCAGUGGUUCUCCCUCCCCAGGUCACUGUGUGUCACUGUGGUGGGGCUUCCUCUGGUGUUCUGAAGGGGAGAUAAUCGGAACCUCAUGUGCUUGUUCCGGACACACAGGGAGGCACGGAGCUCCCACAGCCGCGAAGGACAGGCAGCAUCCCACUGGCACACCUCAUGCUUGGAUACCUCAUGGGUAGCACGCUGGGUAGCACGGUUAUGUGAGGGCCCUGUUCCCAGAUGGGGUUUGCUAGAUGAAAUCGCAUGGUGAGGAAGGUUUCACUCACUAAAAUGGCCUCUUUUAAAGAAGAAGAGAGGGGUGCCUGGGUGGCUCAGUGGGUUAAAGCCUCUAGCUUCAGCUCAGGUCAUGAUCCCGGGGUCCUGGGAUCGAGUCCCACAUCAGGCUCUCUGCUCAGUGGGGAGCCUGUUUCCUCCUCUCUCUGCCUGCCUCUCUGCCUACUUGUGAUCUCUUGUCUGUCAACUAAAUAAAAUCUUUAAAAGAAAAAAAAAGAAGAAGAAGAAGAGAACAUGAGGUGGGGCAAAUGGCAGAGGUGGAGAUAGAGAAUCUUCAUCAGGUUCCAGACCCAGCACAGAGUCUAAGGUAGGGCUUGAUCUCACGGCUCUGAGAUUGUGACCUGAGCUGAAAUCAAGUCGGACACUUAAACUGACUGAGCCACCCAGGUGCCCCAAAUUAGCUUCUUAUAUCUCCUUUGCUUAUAGGUUGUUAACAGUUCACUGAGCAUCCUGCUAUAUGCUUGGUCACAUAAAGUGCCUUAAAACUUGAGGGGUCAAGAAACGGAUUCGGAGAAGGCAUUAACAGAUGCAGUGUGUGUUGUCCUGUAUGGCAGCCAAUACCCUUGCAUGGCUAUUUAAACUAAUGUUAAUUAAUCUAAAUUAAGUUGAAAAUCAGGGACCCCUUGGUGGCUCAGUGGGUUAAAGCCUUUGCCUUCGGCUCAGGUCAUGAUCCCAGGGUCCUGGAAUCGAGCCCUGCAUCAGGCUCUCUGCUCUGCAGGGAGCCUGCUUCCUCCUCUCUCUCUGCCUGCCUCUCUGCCUACUUGUAAUCUCUCUCUGUCAAAUAAAUAAAUAAAAUCUUAAAAAAAAAUAAAUAGAAAAUCAGCUAGCCACCUUUCAAGUCUCCAGUGGCUACAUGUGGCUACUGGCUGCUGAACUGGAUAGCACAGAAGCAUAUACUCCUCCUAUUAGAAAGUUCUGCUGCAUUGUGCUGGUCUAGAGGUGAAAUCCUGUGGUUGGGGCUAGAAGAGUUUUGGAAGGGAAAUCUCUGAGGACUCUAGGAACCAGGGACAGUUCAUUGCUGGGCCUCUGAAGUAUGAGCAGGUCUGUAGGAGUGGCUGGUGAUGCUGGCCCUGAGGGAAGAACUGGAGAUCAGGUGGGCAAGGACCAAGUAGGGUUGGUGACCCAGAAUUGAACCUAACCUAGCUUUAUUUAUUUAAAUUUUUUAAAAAGGAUUUUAUUUAUUUAUUUGACAGAGAGCUCACAAGUAGGCAGAGAGGCAAAGAGAGAGGGGGAAGCAGGCUCCCUGUGGAGCAGAGAGCCCGACUCAGGACUCGAUCCUAGGGCCCUGAGAUCAUAACCUGAGCCAAAGGCAGAGGCUUAACCCACUGAGCCACCCAGGUGCCCUUAACCUAGCUUUAUAUUAAAAGUGGUUGUUACAAUAUUUGAGGGGCAUGAAGUAAACUCACAGGCAGAAGGAUGACAGAUCAUUGAGGUUUGGACCGUGGAGGUCCUAAGUUUCUAGUUUCAGAGACCCCCCUCCUUCUCAUGGGGCCUUGGCCCCUAUUUACUGCAGUCAGACUCUUGGCGUCCACUGAGGCAGGAUUAAGUUGGGUCAGAUCAUGGUCCUUUUUCACUUGUGAAUUGUGGGCUUUGAUGGAGCUUGAAAAUAAUCUCCAGCUAAGAUCUGGGAUCAGGGACUGACAGAAGGGAGGAGAAAAGCAGCCCCAGGCCUCAGGACCAGGUAUUGGUGGGUGCCUGGGAAAUGAAGAAGCUCCUUUUCGGGAGGAAGAAGGUGUUGGUGCCCAUGAUUAAGAGGUUUUGACUGGUUGGGACUGGAGGACUUGACCCAUCUUCAGUUGGCAAGUCUACUUGAGAAGCAGGUGUAGCAACUCAGGGAGAGGCUUGGAGGAGCCAAGCUUUGGGACUGCAGACUUAAUCCUCGGCCAGAUCCUGGGGUGGGAGGAGGGGCUAAAGUUCCUGUCACCCACAAAUCCCAGGGAUGUAUGGAGGCUGUGCCAGGAGGAAUGUCACCCACUGUGGGGAAGGACAGGGCAUUGGCAUCCCACUGGAGUCCUCCCAUGAGUCCCGAGGCCCUCCGGUGUUGUGAUUCAGGACUGUCCCUGGUGGUCUGAGGUCCUGAUUCAGGCCCUUCCAAGGGCCACGUGGGUUCUCUUUUUCCCUCUUCCCUGGACUGCACCCUUCCAGGAGCUUCAGUGUUCUAGGAGGGAGGUGGGUGCGCCGGGCAGAGUUGUUCUUUGUGUUUGAAGGGGCUGCGGUUGCUCUUGGUACUGAUAUAAGCUCGGGUGGUAAAGACAACCAUAUCCCUUUGCACCUUAGAGCUGUUGAUACUCCCUGGUCAUCUUUCUUGACUGCUUCCAUCUUACCAGAGCGGGUGGUUAGGCCAGUCAGGAAAGGGUCAGCGCUAUGUCCAGGGUCUUACCCUGUGUCUUAAUCAGGGACGCAGUUCCCUGGGACCUCCUCUUCAUCUGGGUUCCUUUGGUUUUUUUGGUUGCUAGAGGGAUGGCCCUUGCAGUGCAACUCUCAGCUCAACUAACUGGUCACUAGGCUUUUUCUAUAUAGGUCACCUCAUAAAUGGGGACAUUGGUAAAGAGAAGGGACCAUGCCACUGGGCAGCUUGAUGUACACCAAGUAUGUAACCUAAAUUUUGUACCUUUUCUCAUCAUUAGAGGGAUACUGAUAUUUUGCAUUUUAAGAUAUAUCUUUGGAUACAAAUUUUUAGAGAUGAGUUUUUAAUUAUUGGUUAAGUGCUAGAGAAGAGAAGAAAGCAAAAAAAGGGGCCCAGUCUAUGUGUCCUGCUAACUGGUCAUGUGACCUUAAGUAGGUCAGUUAGGUUUUCCAGGCUUUGGUGCAUGCGUCAGAGGUCAGGCUACAAAUUACUCCUGAGCACUGGCAUUGGGGGGUGGUGGAAGGCAAGAGGCUGAGAGCCGGCAGGGUGACUUGCUGACCUCCCCGUGUCUGACCAUCAGCAGCGCCUGUGCCGGCGUGGAUGCCCUUUUGAUAAGCUUGAUGCUAGGCUCUGAGGUGGCUGUGUCCAGUUAAUUAAUAAUCAUCAUUGACCAGCUGCUCCCUCUCUCGUGUGAAGACUGGGAGAGUGUUCCAGCUAGCGCCUCAGCAGAGAGGAUGGGCUGUGUACCUCGGGAGUGGGGGUGGCGUGGAGAUCUAGUCUUCCCUUGAAGUCAGAGGAAUCUUAGUAUAGUUGUGUCUCACGGUGGAGAUGAGGAAUUCUUUAUGUUCUCCAUCAGAGACUUGUUUCCCAUUUGAGGUGUGGGGCCAAACAUGGCCGCUGUGAUUGGCGGUGCAGGCACAGGGGCACCUGGCCGAGGGGGCUGGUGAGGGCUGUGACCUAACCUGUUGUCCACCAGGCAGGCUUUGUGUUGGCUUGUGGCUGGGCUCCUCCAGACAGGGGUCUUCUCAUUCACCCAGAGAUACGGUGUGGGCUGGGAGCUGUGCGGAGGUGAGAGGUGGGGACUGUUCCCAAAGCUGAUGAGGAAAUUAGGAUUUACAUCCAAGUACCACCCCCCACCCCACCCCAAGACGGUGUAAGACUGGAUAUCAGAAGUCCAAAGAAGCAAGAGGAGAGACGGAUACCUGGUGCUGGCUGUUCUCUUUCCUCUUCUUCCUGCUCACUUAGUGCUGAGCAGUAGUUUCAUCCCUGAAGAUUUGGAGUGUGGGGUCCUGGGUGCCAGGCCAUCAUACGUGGUUGGACGAAGAAGACACAGAGUGGAAAGCAGAAUAAGGUUGGACACAGCCUCUGGUGGUGCAGUGUUGGGAUCUUUAUUCUCUGAUCCAGUAAACAUCUCUGUGUGCUAUCUGGCCGGGGGAGAGCCUGGGACGUGGCCCCAAGGUCAAACCCUAUCUGUAACUCUUGCCCCCCUCUAAGACCGGCCAAGCUCUGUGUUUAUUCUGCUAGGAACCUGAGCUGCCUAGAAGGGUCAUAUGAAAGGGCAUCUUACUCUUGAGGGACAUCCCAGGCAUCUCCGUGGCCAGUGUCCAUGCAGCACUCAUCUGGAAGGUGAGGCGUGGUGGCUAAAGACGGAAACUGUGUGGCUUUUUCUGUCUCAGAGAACAUGAGGGGAACACGGGGGCCUGUGCUGUUGAUGCCUUCUCUGCUACACUCGUCUCCAUUGAGUCUUUUGAACCUAAAGCAAAGGGAAAGGGGACCUGCUGACAAGCCCCUGCCGGCUCCUCUGCUGUCCUGCUCCUCUGGGAACCUUGCCCCCCACCCCUCUGCCGCAGGUGAUGGCGUCAGUCACCUCGUGGCCAUUGUGAUGAUCCGUAGUGUCACUGGGCUCCCAGCCCACACACGGGACAUUUGCAACCUGGCCUCCCGCCCAGGGCCUAGAACUGCUACUCAGCCCCUCUGUACCAACAGCUAAAAAUAAGCUCGCUACUGCUGCAGUCUCCCCUCACCACCCAGCCCUGCCGUCGGCCCUGGGUCUAACUGCCACGCCGCAGACCUGCAUCUCUCUCCUUGCGCCUGGUCUCCCUGUCUACCCCCUUCUCCUGUGGCUGGGAGUGAGCCAUGGCUGGUGCUUCUCCAGGUAGCUUGUCCCACUCCUCUCACUCAGGAAAGCAAGUUGCCCCCAAGCCCCUGCCUAGCCCCAGCUGUGUGAGAAGAGGGCAGUGCGUGCCAAGGCUCCGUGGAGCUGCCUUGCUUCUCCAUCAGGGGAAGGCUUAGGGGGAGGGCGCCCAAGUUCAUUGGAGUCAAUGAGAUUUUUGCCUGGGCUUCCUCCAAGCUGCUCUGGCCAGCAGGCCCCCCCUGCCAGAAGGGGUGUGGGGGUGAGUAGGAGAGCCCCGCAUGAGGCUGUCCGUGGCCCUCACCCCGACUGCCCUGUGGCUGAGCCGCCUCCCUGCCCUGGGCCUCCUGCCCUGUUGCCCCGCUAAUUCUCCACCUCUGCAGUGUGGGGCUUCAGGUUACGCGCAGGGGUGUGACCUCAUCCUGCUGGCUUCCAGGGCUCACUGAGCCCUGACCCUCAGGGCCUCCUUCCUGGGUCAGGCCAGGGCCCCUCUGGCCUUCCAGCUUUGCCACCUGCACUAUGUCACAGAGAACAGGGGUCUCUCCUCUCUCCUGACGGUGGAGGCAGGGUUACUGCUGAUCUGAGCCCACGGAAGCCCAUUGAGGCAGCCUCUUCCCUUACUGCCGGGGGGUCCUGUGCAGGCGAGGGGAGGAGGCUCAGGUAGUUGCAGAAUUGAGCAAUAGUGGGCAAGCACUUCUUUUAGCUUGACUUUGGCAUUCUCUUCUUCCUGAUUCACCUAAUCCUCGGCAGGUGUGGUACUAACCAUGCAAACAAGGGUUUUGUGUCUUUUUUCUGAACUUGGAGUUGUUUGGGAGAGGAGGUGAGGAAGAGUUAUAGGAGCCAAGGUGGGUCUUUGGGGACCUCUGGCUUCAGCUAGAGGCACAUACUGGACCAUGUCUGUAUGGGCUGCUUUCUCCCAUCUGGCCCUCUGGGGCCUCAUUUUCUCUGCAGGGAGAGAUUUAUCUGCCAAGGCCCAUUGGCUUCUGGAGGGAGGAGUUGGGUGUAAAUUGCUAAGAGUUUAUUUUUAACUCUGACAGAAGGAGCCCCUGUCCUUGGAGUAACCGUACCCUCCCGCUUCUCUGUCCCGGGCCUCCCUCUCUGACUUCUGUCAUUCUUAGAGGAAGGCUUGUAGAUUCCACAGGCCCGGCGUCAGCGGAACUGGGCAAGGGAAGCCUCUCUAAGUGGAGAAUCUGUGGAUUGCUUGACAGGCCCGACUUCCGCGGAGCUCAGGGGCCUGUGGGGGGCAGGGAAGUAGAGCGGGAGCCCUGGGCCUUGGAGGCCACACGUGUGGAACGUAGAGCAUCCUAGGAAUGCAGGUGGACUGGUGGAGAGGCCACAUGGGCCUUGGUACUUGGAGCACCCUGUUGGCUCUCCUGUGCUGGCAACGGUAGCAGGGGUCAUCUUGUGCCCUUCGCAAUGCCUCUGUCCUCACAGGCACCCAGAUCUCUGAAAGGUAGAAGGAUACGAGGGCAGAAUGAGUGUGUAUGGUCGCCUGCAUUGUGAAUGUUUAGUUUAUAGAAACGCUGAAGUUUUGUUACUCCCUCUGACUGCCAGGCUCCCAAGCAUCACAGCCUUUCCCCAGGAGCCUGUGGGAUUCUCCGGGACUUCAUACCUUCGUGUUCCCCUCCCCUGGCAGGUGCUAGUCACCUGGGCUCCUAGUGGGGAGGACAAGUGUAUGAGCGCUCCUUCGCCUGUGUCUGGACCCUUCUGGUUUCAAGGACUUGUUUUGGUUACCUUGCCUUAGAUUUUUAAAAAGAACAUAAACUAGAGUUUGAUAUAGAAGGAAUGGAGAGCAGGGGGAUUGGGUAGGGGCCAGGAGGGACACACAACUCCCUCUGAGGACCUCAACUGGGGAACGAAGGUCUUGGCCCCUCAGUGUCUUGGAGCGCAUGGGGGGUUACUUUGUCUGAAGCCCAGCUCUGAUUAUACAGCUUUCCAGCUCAAACCCUUCAGUGGGUUCACUUUGGCGAUAGAAUACAGGAGAUUUCCAGAUCCUUCCCUGAUCUGACGCCAAUUUGGUUUUCGGUUUUAUUUAUUUUUAUUUUUUUUUCCUGAAUACCUGCUGCAUUUCAGCUUAAGUGGCUUACGUUUGCUGUUUCCUGAAUAGAACCCUGCACUGCCCUCUCCCCCCCCCCCCCCACCCCGUCACCUUGCCCAUGCAUGGUAUGUAUGCCAUCUGUCCAUCUGUAUCUUCCUUGCCUCCCUGCCCCACCCCUGUCUGUAUCUCCCUACUCCACCCUGUACAAAUGCUGCCACUUUCAUGAAAGCUUUCACACCAGAAGUGGCUCUCCCCUACCCUGCCCUGUCAGACCUGCCAAGACACUCUUCCCUUCCCUCUGUUUUCAGUCUGUUUGCCCAUGUUCAAGGGACCCUUCUAAUGCUGCAUUGUAAGUUCAUGAAGACUCACGUCAUUAUCUUUUGUAUUCUCUUAUUUCCUCCUUUAAAAAAAGUCAUGGAGUAUUUUGGCAUUGCGCAUUAUACCUAGCUGCCUAAUAAAAGUGUGGUAAUUGAAUAAUAGUGGGAGCUGCCUGCAUAAACAUAAGGUCCCAAUGGUGAUCCUCGGGUGAGUGGGGGGAGGGCUCUGGGCAUGGCACAGUCCUGGGGGCUGGGCUCUCUGAGACUGAGCCAGGGCUACAGUAAAGGCCCCCAAAGUGUCUGUCCCUGUUCUUCCCUCCAGCCUGCUAAAAAGCCAUUCAUAGCGGAACAGUCUUCUGGGCAUUUCUUCCCUCCACACAUUCGGAUCUGCUGACUCAAGCUGACACCUUCUGUUUCUACUAACGGAUUUCUCAUUCUUGUAAGGAUCCUGACCACAGUUUCCCAUUGAUGCCUCUUCUCUGUCUCCUCCCUGUUCCAGAGCCCCUUCUUUUCCUGCUUCACUACAGGGAUGACCCUUCUGCCUCUCAGAGAAUUUUAACUGGGGGAGGGACAGAUGUGGAACUGACCACCUCUCUUCCAGCUCUUGGCAUCUUCUGGUUAGCGCCAGACAAAGCCGAGACACACACAUGCAGUCCAAGGUGAUGUGACAGCUGGCCUUGCUCCUGUGUGUUGCAAGAAGACCAGUGUCGAGUACCAGGUUGCCAGGUCUGAGGUCAGAGGUUUGAAUCUCGUGGGGCAACUUAACUCCAUGCCACAGGUUUGAAGGAGACACAGACCAGGACUGGUGUCCGAGAGACCGGCUUGUGUGGCCCUCAGAAGGUCUGAGAACAUGUCUGGGCCUCACUCCGUUUGCUCCUUUGUGAAUUGCAGGGCUCCGGCUUGGUCUCAGACUUGAUCUCAGAGGACUCCUGCACUUCACAAAGGGCUUUCUGUCACUCCACUGCUGGGUACACAGCCCCGCACUGGGAAGAGGGAGGGCAGCCCACGUUCCAGGUAGUGGGGAUUGACCAUUCCUCUCUGCCCUCACUUUGUGUAGGCCAGUGGUCCAUCAGCCUUCCCCGGGCUGUGGUAGUUUUUUAUUCACUCAGCCAUUCAACCACUGUUUAUAAACAUGUAUUCUCUCCCAUGCCUGCCUCCUGUCUUUCCUGCUGACGGGCCAUCAGGAGGCCCAGAUGGCAGGAUUAGCCUCGAAUGGGAGACUAGUCAGGGUCAUCCCUUUGGGUUUAGACCCCUUUAAUACCUCUGCUAUAUGAGAUGAGAGGAAUUUGGAACAAUGAGGGCUGAUUCUUUCUAGCAGCUUAGACUAGACUCCUGCCUUUCUAAGCAGGAUUUGCCUUAGGGUGCCUUCUAUCCCUCUGAGACCCGAAGCAGCUUACCACUCAAGAAAAUUAAUUAGCAGUGCUGAGAAUGACUUUUGCAGCCUCCCUAAGGAUAGAUGGGAACAGCAGAUUGGCUUUGAUACAUAAACAGUCUUCAGUCUUCUGUAGCUGAAUGCUACAGCUGAAUCACUGUUGAAGGUUUAGCAACACUGUCAAGGUUUCCCAGAUUAAUAACAAGUCUUUAUUGAGCAGAUACUUUGUGUCAGGCAUUGUGUUGGGUUUUUACUAAUCUUACUAAACCCUAAAAUAAUACAGCAAAGUAAAAAUAUUUACAGAAUACUUACAUUUUACAGAAGAGGAAAUGUGGUCACAUGUGCAGAACAAUGCAUUCAUUAGCAAUGAUUUACUGAGUGUCUGCUAACUGCUAUAAAUUAUUAUAGGCCCCAGGGAUACAUUAAGUGUACCAAAGAAACAAAAACAAAAACAAAAACAAAAUCUUGUCUGCAUGGAGCUUGCAUUUUAGCAAGGGGAGACUGACAAAAUGCAAUCAAUUAAACGAUACCGCCUGUCAGAUGGUGAUAGAGAUGGUGGCAGAAAGAAAGGAGGCAGGAGGCCCAGGAAUGCUGGGAAUGUGUGUGUGGCUCAGGGAAGGCUUUACUGGGAAGGUGGUGUUGGAGUGCACCUUGGAAAUGCUGGGAGGGCAGAGGGGCAGCGGGUUAAGUGCCAGGCCCUGGGCUUGCUAAUGAUGGGAGUGUCUUACUCUAAAACCUGGGCUUCAUUCAGCUUGUGCUACUGCCUCUCCAGUAGUUCCUCCAUGAAUCCAUUAUAAUUUAGUACUUAGUUGCUCUGGCAAUUUAUGUUGUAUCAUCAAAUAUUUAUGGGAUACUUACUUUGUGCAAAUUGCUACAAGGAUAAGGAAUGGGCACUGCCUUUGGGAACCUUCCAUUCAGAAGGGCAGGGAACGUGUGUGUGUGUGUGUGUGUGUGUGUGUGUGUGUAAGGAAUGAAAAGACUGCACCCCACGAUCUGGAUUGUGCCCUUUUACACAUAUUCCCAUUUGACAAUUUCUGACACAAGGAGGCCACGUGGUCUGAUGUUGGGGUUUCCAUAUAGAGAAAGAGGUUCAGGGAGGUUCUGGUGCGUAAGUGGUGGGGUCAGGGCAAUAGGGUGGCCCCAGAGGACAUGGAAACAGGGGAUGGGCUCCUCAGGAUGGAAGGGGUUAGGGGACGGGGUCACUUUUGCCUGGCCUAGGCAGAGGACACAUCCUGGAAUCACACCUGGGACACACCCAGGGGAGGACGCAGAUUAAAGUUUGGCCAGUGGGCGUGGGUUGUUAAGGAAUUGCACUGGGUACUCCCGUCUCCUGUUGGGCUGCGGGGAGAGAGAGGAUCUCCCUCCAGGGAUCUUUCUUCUAAUAGGAAAUGCUUGGGGUUGGGAGUUGGCCAAGCAUCCAGCAGAGCCAGGGAGGAAAGGGGUGAUAAAAAGAGGUGGCCGCGCUGACCCUGUGGCAGAGCCUACUUUGGUCGGCCUCUGGGCCCUCACAGGACUUCUGUCUUGCUCUGAAGAAUCUCAUCCUGCCCUGUGUUCAGCUGCUCAGGUGGAGGUGUGGGCAGGCGGUUCGCAGGGUGAUGGGGUGGCUGUGUGACCCUAGGCUCUGGCCAUCUUUGAUUCCCGCCUCUCAAGGCCUCAGCACUCAGGGCUCAGGAUGGAGGUGACGGUUAGUGCAGCUGGUAAAGUGAAGCAAGGUCUGGGUUUUUUUUCCUGAGCCGGUACUGUGGUGAAGGAAGUUGCAACAUGAUCUUUCCUUUCUUUUCUUUCUUUCUUUUUUUUUUUUUUCUUUUUAUAGAAGGGGAAAACCAUCUUCCAGUAAACUUCAGAAACAGUGUCUAGUCUUUGAUGAAGGUCAUCGCCUCACUCCCCCCUCACCACGCGUUUUGUAGCCCAUCUUGCUUUCAUCCCUUCUCCCCCGUUCUUCCCUGUCAGUGUCCUUUCCUCUGAGGGACUGCGUCUCUGCAUCAGGCUGGCUACUUGGAGGGAUGCUUGGUGGCCUGUCCUUGACAGUGAGAGCUGUUUAAAUAGGCCAGAUGGUUCCUGAUACCCGCCCGGCCUCUCCUGCUGCCGCACUGGUCUGUGGUCGUUUGGUAUUCCAGAAGGUUGAGGCAAUACUUCCCGGCUCAGUCUUCUGCAGAUAUUUGAACACAGCCUGUGGCCCAGCGUCAUGGCACGUUUUCAGAGUACUUGAUCUGCCAAGGGCUCGAGGGAGACGCAGAGAUGAGACUUCACUGCAGCAUCCUUCCGAUUCAUCAUCAGGCCUUGCUCAGAGGUAGAGGAAAGAUCCACGUCGCAGUGGACCCUGUCUGUGGAGAGUCCGGGGGUUGGUAUGGACCACAUGUACCGUCCGCCUCUCUGCCUACCACCCCCCAGGAAAGAGUCCCUGUUUUCCUGCACGGCUAACACUUGCUCUUUGAAGGCACUGAUCUGUUUUCCUUCAGAGGCAUUGAGACACUUGGCCAGCAUUGCCAGGCAGAUAGGACCACAAACCUCUCUUCUGUUUGGAGACCUUCAGGGGCACCCUCCCCUUGCCUCCAGGGUAAUGCUGAGACUCCUAACAUGAUACUCAAACAAGCUGGCUUUGACUUUCCUUCCCACCCCCACCCCUCACACACA